GCCACCUAUCCUGCAGAUUCUCAUAAAUGCGGCAACCUCUGAAAUUUUUAUAUCUUCAUAUCAAUAUUGAAAAAUAAGUGGAUUGAUAACUGUAUUCCUGCUAAAUAAUCAUAGACAAUAUGACGGAAAUGUCUGUUACCAAAUUGUCUCUUCGAAAUGUAGGGGCCAUGAGCGACAGGGACAAAGAACAUUUGGCGCCUAUUAUUUCGAAGAAAUCGCGGCGUGUCAAAAAGAAAAAUUUGAAAAGGAAAAUACAGCACGAGUGGUCAGAGAACGAGGUAAUUAGCUUAAUCAAAGCUGUUAAAAAACAACCGUCGAUCUGGAUGGACGGAGCAUUACAGCAAAAAUCAAAUAGAUCAGACUGCUGGAACACCAUUGUCGCUGCCCUUGCCAUAGACGGCGUCGAUGUGAACGAGGCCAAAACAAAAUGGGCCUCGCUUCGCGUCACUUACAGGCUUAAUUUCAGCAAAAUGCAAAGCGCGGGCCCGGCUAAUACCAGCACCGUGGUCUGGCGUUAUUUCGAACUCAUGUCGUUCCUGGACCAAAAUAACGCGGAUCAAUCGUUGGCUUCGCGUAAAGACCAAACCUCUAGCCCUGAAACGAAGCCCUUUACACAAACUCGGCCGACACGGGUUGUCGCUACGUCGCUCAAGAGACGUCGGACACGCGGCAAUGCUAGCUCCACAGCAUCCACACCAACGAUACCAUUGCUGCCCGCCACAGCGAGCACUUCUCUGGGUGCAUUGCCAUCGACUCCGGUUGCGCCAGGCCUGACAAGCCCAUUACCUUCUCCCACUGGCGCCUCAGAAAGUCCGGCAAGAUCGUCAUCCAGUAAAUCGGCGUCAACAACAACUCCGGCCGCCGCAUUGCAGGCUGUAGGCGCUGCUUUGCCAACUGCGGCUGGCGCAGGCUCAAAUCCGGACGCAAAUUCGGCAUUUUGCGACUAUCUUUUGUCGGAAAUGCGAACAAUUUCCAGCGACAACGCGCGUGCUCUACGACACCAAUUAUCCCGGACGUUGUUGAAAUUUCUGGAAAAUGUUAAGGAAAGUGACUUAAUGUCACAAUAGUCGUUGCCAUGAGCACCCAUCUCCAGGUAGUACACCAUUUAAUGCCAUAUCCCAUAACUACGCUAAACUCCAGCUUAAGUACAAAUUUUUUAAAUCAUUUACAGUCAAUGAAACGCGCAGCUUAUUUUAAUUCAUAUUCAUUUAGACAACACCAGGACAUUUCCAAAUCGCCUACGCUGAUUUAAAAAACAUAUAAUUUAUAUACUAUCUCAUUUGACUGCAUGUGUCAUAAAUUGAAGCCUUUGAAAAGCCAAAAAUCAUAUGUAAGUCAAUAUCUAUAAGAAAGUAGUUAAUUUAAGUUUGAGUUUAAUUAAUUUGCAUCGGUAAAUGGGAUUUAAAACAUCAUAAAAAAGUACAAAUAUUGUCUUAAGCAUUAGAAUAAGCAAUAAUAAAUAUGGAUUUACAUUUGUGGACAAUGCAG